rnacentral:rRNA from 1 species
AUUGAACGGCUGGCGGCAUGCUUUACACAUGCAAGUCGAACGGCAGGCGGGGGCAACCCUGGCGGCGAGUGGCGAACGGGUAGAGUAAUGUAUCGGAACGUAUCCUGUAAUGGGGGAUAACCAGUCGAAAGAUUGGGUAAUACCGCAUACGCACGAGAGUGGAAAUAGGGGAUCGCAAGACCUUACGUUAUAGGAGCGGCCGAUAUCUGAUUAGGCUAGUUGGUGGGGUAAAGGCCUACCAAGGCGACGAUCAGUAGCUGGUCUGAGAGGACGACCAGCCACACUGGGACUGAGACACGGCCCAGACUCCUACGGGAGGCAGCAGUGGGGAAUUUUGGACAAUGGGCGCAAGCCUGAUCCAGCAAUGCCGCGUGCAGGAUGAAGGCCUUCGGGUUGUAAACUGCUUUUGUACGGAACGAAACGGUGAGCUCUAAUAAAGCUUGCUAAUGACGGUACCGUAAGAAUAAGCACCGGCUAACUACGUG